CACUCGUUUUCAUAUCUUCUACUAUGAGACGAUCGAUAUGUGCCUCAGCGCUGAAUUCAUUUUUACAUGUUGAAGCAUUAGUUUGUUACAUGAGCAUCCGAAUCAUUAAAAUCCGGAUCGGACCGAGUCACAUUUCGAACACCACCCAAACCCCCGCGGCGCAACCCUGCCCUAAUCGCAGCGGCCGCUCUUUUUCUUCGGCGACUGCGGCGUCUCCUCAGUGAACGACGGCUGCCUUCCUCUCCAUCGGGAAACAGCGACAGUUGGCGGUGCCGUCUUCCCCUCCCGGGUUAUAGCAUGCUUCACAGUUUCUGAAGCUACCAACUGCAAUAGAUAAAUAGUGGAAGGUAGUGUCAGUGCGCAUGUGUCACAUCAAGACAUUAUUUCAGUGGUGGAGAAUUGCUUCGAUUUGAGCAUGAUAAUAAGUAAAUGAUCAAAGGUACUCAUAAUCCACACUCAAACACCAUUUAGAGACUUUAAUCUGAAAGAAAUGGUUUAUGGGAACUGAUGGCAGGUGGAUUUAUGUGAGGAAUUUUAUCUGAUACAGAUGAUCAGCUUGAAGUUUUCAACUUCCUUUUGGUUGGAAGCAGAUACAGAAAAUAUAUUUAGUUUGGAUGCGCUUGAUCUGAGGUAGAAGAGGAGUUGGACUUAGAGAGGGCCUGUAUUAGAUUAGUUUUUUUUUGUAUUUUUCUGCAAACAGCACACGAUACUGCUUCAAAAGAUGAUGUUUUUGGUGCAAAAAAGGCUCUUUUGCCUUUUCCCAUGUAACAAUUCCUCCAUUUAUCUUUCCUCCUAUCAACUUUGCGGCCUGUUUAACUUUUCCACUGCCACAUACGAAAGUUCAGAGCACAGUUCCAACUUGAUAGUGGUCAACCCCCUUCAAUCAUGUGAACUUUCCUCAGAAAAGGCUGCAAAAAUAGCCAAGUAUCACACCUGUCGUAAAAAUUCUUCGAGUCUUUCCAUUGAGUUCUUUAAGCAGAAUGGUUGGAGCGAUGCACAAGUCAUGAAACUUACCCAGAAGGCACCCAAGUUGCUGCGUGCUAAGGUAGAGACUACACUGAAGCCCAAGAUGAGAUCUUUGCAGGACAUGGGAUUUUCUGUUACCGAAAUAGUUCAGUUGGUUUCAACAUGUCCGACUAUACUCUUUCAUAAUUUCCAACCGAAUUUGAACUUCUUGAAGGCACUACUUGGUUCUAAUGAGAGGUUACUGAAAGUCUGCAGGAAGAACCUAUUUCUUCUUACUUGUAGCUUAGCUCGGAAGAUAGAGCCCAAUAUCUCUCUCUUAAGGGAAUGUGGCAUCAGUGAUGAAUGCAUCGCGCGUAUGGUGGUGUUGAAUCCUGGUUUUGCUGUUCGAAAAAACAAAUUUAUUAAGGAAGUUAUGGAACAUGUUGAGGAGUUGGGUGUGCCAAAUGAUUGUGGAACGUUCCCUUAUGCACUUGUUGCUGUCUUGAACAUGAGCAGAUCUAAGUUUGAUGCUACCUUUGCAACCUUGAAGAGCUUUGGCUGGUCCCAGCCAGACAUCGUUGCCAUACUCAGGAAGAACCCAGGUGUUUGGACACUCUCAAAGAAUAACAUAUCUGACAAGAUGACAUUCCUGAUGAAGGAAGCUGGUUGUGAGCUGCAGUAUAUCAUUCGCCAUCCUGGGAUUCUUUCAUAUAGCUUGGAGAAGAGGUUGAGACCUCGACUUGAAGUGAUGAAUUUUCUUGAGCAGAAUAAAUUGCUGGAUAAAGGACAUAGCCUUAUGUCUGUCAUGCUACUAACCGAGGGGAAGUUCAUAAACAAAUAUCUUUUCCCGUACAAGGAGAAAUUUACUGCUCUCUAUAAUGCCUAUGUUGCUGCUGUGCAGGGAAAGCACCAUGUUGUCGCUGAAAAUUAGGAUUGCAAGUGCUUCCUCGAGACAAAAGUGUAAACCUAUUGCAUACUGACUGCACUAUUUAAUCAUCUUAAAUCUGUGACAAUUUAUAAUCUUCAGGAGUUUCGUCUGAGUAGAACAUCACUGUUGAUUUUGAUAUUUUAUUUCUAAUUAUCUUUUGAUACCUUUUUUA